rnacentral:rRNA from 1 species
GACAGAGGGUGCAAACGUUGUUCGGAAUUACUGGGCGUAAAGGGCGCGUAGGCGGUUCGUCAAGUCCUGUGUGAAAUCCCCCGGCUCAACUGGGGAACUGCACAGGAAACUAGCGGGCUUGAGUUCGGGAGAGGGAAGCGGAAUUCCGGGUGUAGCGGUGAAAUGCGUAGAUAUCCGGAGGAACACCGGUGGCGAAGGCGGCUCCUGGACCGACACUGACGCUGAGGCGCGAAAGCUAGGGGAGCAAACGGG